rnacentral:rRNA from 1 species
UACGUAGGGGGCUAGCGUUGUCCGGAAUCAUUGGGCGUAAAGCGCGCGUAGGCGGCCAGAUAAGUCCGGUGUGAAAGUCACAGGCUCAACCUUUGAAUGCCGCUGGAAACUGUCUGGCUCGAGUCCGGGAGGGCGAGUGGAAUUCCUAGUGUAGCGGUGAAAUGCGCAGAUAUCAGGAGGAACACCAAUGGCGAAGGCAGCUCGCUGGAACGGAACUGACGCUGAGGCGCGAAAGCGUGGGGAGCGAACAGG